UGGAGGUUAGCAUACCACAAUUCCAGUCCCUACCCUACCUGCUAAUUUGUUUAUGGAUUUAGGUAACACAAUUUUGGUCAUUUCUUUUAUAUACUGCUAUGAGGUCAUUAUUUUGUUUCUAUAACAAAAUAAUCAAAGGUUAGUAAUUAUGAAGAAAACAAUUAUUUAGUUUUUGAUUUUGGAAGUCCAAGACAUUACCAAUAUCUGUUCAACGUCUGUUGGGUACUAUAUAGUGCACCAUGAAAAUCAGAAAGGAAUCGGCCUUGUGUUAGAGAACAACUGAGACUGCGGGGGAAAUGACAGGCAUUCUUAUAAAAAUUCACUCAUACAACUAAGCUACUCAUUUGUUUUUAAAGAGUUUUUUUUUUUUUUUUUUUUUAAGAGUAUCGUGUACAUGUAGAUAGUAGAUAGUACACAUGACUGCAGGUGCCUUCAGGGGUAUCAGGUCCCCUGGACCUGAAGCUACAGGCAUUUGUGAAAUAUCCCACGUGGUGCUAAAACCAAACUCGGGUCCUCUGCAAGAGCAGUAUGAGCUUUUAACCACUGAGCCAUCUCUCCAGCCCCUAAGUCGCUCUCAUAGGAACCAUACUGUGUUCCUGAGGAUGGAUCCCUUUAUACCUAGUUACUUCUGAGGGGCCCGCCUUGGUCCCAUUGUUUAAUUACCAGUGUAUGUAAGCUUUGGCAUUAGCUUUGGUACAGACUGUAGGAGUAUCGUUGUACACUGACAGCAGCUUUAGCUUUUUGGGGUUUGUGCUUUUUCCUUCAUCAUCCUGGUCAUUUCUGUCUUUCUGUUUUUAAAGUGAACUUUCUGAUUAAGUGUAAGUUUUACAAAUCAGAAACUCAGUAAUUAUAAAGUGAAUACAUUCUUAACAAUAGGACUAAAAUGUGACCAAUACAAAAAUGGUUUCUUGUGCCUCUCAAUCUCUUUCUCCCAUGACAAUUACCAUUAUCUUAUGAAUUUAUUUUUAUAGGUAAGCAUAGAAUCAUGCAGUGUAUGCUUGGGUUUAUUUUGCUUCCAUUGUUUUCUUUUCUACCUCACUGGAGAUUAAACCCAGGGCCCUGCACAUGCUGAGCAAGCUCUACCCCACACUGAGGUAUGCCCUGGCAUCAUGCUCCAGUUUCUUAAAAACCAGUAUUAGUGUGCUUAUCUGUGUUACUAUGUAGACUAAGUAGCUCAUUCCUUAUGGAAUAUGGUAUUUCUCCAUUAUACAAAUAUAUCAUGAUUUAUCCAGUGUAUCAUUAGUUAUGAAAUGAGACUGUUUC
rnacentral:lncRNA from 1 species